rnacentral:tRNA from 1 species
GCCUCCGUGGUGUAGUGGUUAGCACGCUCGGCGCGUAUUCGAGAGGUCCGUGGUUCGAGUCCCGUCGAGGGCA